AUUUCAUACACAUACAACACACACUGAUUGCUAAUGAAAGACCCCCAUAUCGGGGAGACCCUCACUCAAGUCUUGGGAUGACGCAACCUCCCAAGAACUCACAUAAGACC
rnacentral:pre_miRNA from 14 species